rnacentral:lncRNA from 1 species
GGGUCCUUAACACUAAUAUAUAACAAUUAGAAAGUAAUUACACUAUUAGUGCAUCUACAAAAUAAUUACAAAAAUAACUCAAUUCACAUUAAUAAGCCUAAAAUCAAGGAGAAAUAACUGCCAUAAUUAAUAAUUCAAAUAUCUGGGAUCUAACAACAAAAGCAAAUUCAAAUUCAAAAUAAUAAUUCAAAUAUUCAAAUUCAAAUCUUCAUCUCCCUCACAGUAGCCAUCUCUUCCGCUACUCCGCCGCAAAUCUCCUUCUUCACAGGUUGCCCUCUCCUCUGCUACUCCCCCGCGAAUCUCCGUUGUACAAAACGCCAAUGAAAAAAAGAAGAAGAUUCGCCCUAUAAAAAGUUUAAAAAUAAAUAGAUGUAACUUUUACUGUUCUGAUUUUAUUUUUAUGACUAUUUGGUUACCCACAAAAACAAAAAUGGUUACCUUUGUAUGAAUGGUUGGGUACCAACUGCAUCACAUUCAAACUAAAUUGGUAACUUAAUAAAACUGAAUUGGUUACCUUGGUGUGAAGGUUUGGCAACAACAUCUUCCUCCUCCCCCUUCAUCGGUGAGACAAAGCGAGAGUCAACCACAAAAUGGUCGAUGGGAUGGAGAAAGAAGGUGGAUAUUUGAUUUUUCACAAUUUUUUAUGUCCGAAAAUUUCAAUUCCAAUUUAAUGUCCAAAGAAAAAUAAGAACACUGCAUAGGAAAGAGAUAGAUAAGAGAGUGAUGUGUAAUGUAAUGUUGAUAACCAAACUUCGUACCAAGGUAACCAAACUUUUAUACCAAGGUAACCAAACCUUUAUACCAAGGUAACCAAUCUACCUCCACACAUGCAGUAUGAAUCGGUUACCUUGGUCUGAAAGUUUGGCAACCAACUGCAUGAAGGUUUGGCUACCAACUGCACCACAUUCAAAAUAAAUUGGUAACUUAAUAAAACUGAAUUGGUUACCUUGGUAUGAAAGUUUGGCUACCCACUGCAUGAAGGUUUGACUACAAACUGCAUCACAUUCAAUAAAAAUUGAUAACCUAAUAACAUUGAAUUGGUUACCUUGGUAUAAAUAAUUGGUUACCUUGGUAUAAAUGUUUGGCUACCAACUGCAUUAUGAAAAAACUGCAGGUGUAGAUGUGGAUUGGUUACCUUGGUAUGAAAGUUUUGUUACUUUGGUAUGAAAGCUUGGUUACCUUGGUGUGAAGGUUUGGUUACCAACUGCACUAUGAAAAAAUUGAAGGUGUGGAGGUGGAUUGGUUAACUUGGUAUGACAGUUUGGUUACCUUAGUAUGAAGGUUUGGUUACCAACUGAAAAAACUGCAGGUGUAGAAGUGGAUUGGUAACCUUGGUAUGAAGGUUUUGUUACCCCG